rnacentral:rRNA from 1 species
AGAGCGAACGCUGGCGGCGUGCUUAACACAUGCAAGUCGAGUGCGCGCCUGUAGCAAUACAGGUGGCGCACGGCGCACGGGUGCGUAACACGUGGGUAAUCUGCCCUUCGAUGGGGAAUAACCUCGCGAAAGCGAGGCUAAUUCCGCAUAACAUUCCGAUGGUUCCGAUCAAUGGACUCAAAGCCGUAAGGCGUCGGAGGAGGAGCCCGCGCACGAUUAGCUAGUUGGUGAGGUAACGGCUCACCAAGGCUUUGAUCGUUAG